AGAACGAACGCUGGCGGCAUGCCUAACACAUGCAAGUCGAACGCUCUUGGGGCUUCGGUCUCAGGGGAGUGGCGCACGGGUGAGUAGCGCGUGGGAACCUGCCCUGUUGUGGGGGAUAACCGAGGGAAACUUCGGCUAAUACCGCAUAAGCCGGUUGUCUUGAAGGAGAUGGCCGGGAAAGAUUUAUCGCGACAGGAGGGGCCCGCGUCGGAUUAGCUAGUUGGUGGGUAACGGCCCACCAAGGCGGUGAUCCGUAGCUGGUCUGAGAGGAUGAUCAGCCACACUGGGACUGAGACACGGCCCAGACUCCUACGGGAGGCAGCAGUGGGGAAUAUUGGACAAUGGGCGCAAGCCUGAUCCAGCAAUGCCGCGUGAGUGAUGAAGGCCUUAGGGUUGUAAAGCUCUUUCGCCCGCGACGAUGAUGACGGUAGCGGGAGAAGAAGCCCCGGCUAACUUCGUGCCAGCAGCCGCGGU
rnacentral:rRNA from 1 species